CCUGGCUCAGGAUGAACGCUAGCUACAGGCUUAACACAUGCAAGUCGAGGGGAAACGACAUCGAAAGCUUGCUUUUGAUGGGSGUCGACCGGCGCACGGGUGAGUAACGCGUAUCCAACCUGCCCAUCACUUGGGGAUAACCUUGCGAAAGUAAGACUAAUACCCAAUGAUAUCUCUAGAAGACAUCUGAAGGAGAUUAAAGAUUUAUCGGUGAUGGAUGGGGAUGCGUCUGAUUAGCUUGUUGGCGGGGUAACGGCCCACCAAGGCUACGAUCAGUAGGGGUUCUGAGAGGAAGGUCCCCCACAUUGGAACUGAGACACGGUCCAAACUCCUACGGGAGGCAGCAGUGAGGAAUAUUGGUCAAUGGACGAGAGUCUGAACCAGCCAAGUAGCGUGCAGGAUGACGGCCCUAUGGGUUGUAAACUGCUUUUAUAAGGGAAUAAAGUGAGUCUCGUGAGACUUUUUGCAUGUACCUUAUGAAUAAGGACCGGCUAAUUCCGUGCCAGCAGCCGCGGUAAUACGGAAGGUCCGGGCGUUAUCCGGAUUUAUUGGGUUUAAAGGGAGCGUAGGCCGGAGAUUAAGCGUGUUGUGAAAUGUAGGCGCUCAACGUCUGCACUGCAGCGCGAACUGGUUUCCUUGAGUACGCACAAAGUGGGCGGAAUUCGUGGUGUAGCGGUGAAAUGCUUAGAUAUCACGAAGAACUCCGAUUGCGAAGGCAGCUCACUGGAGCGCAACUGACGCUGAAGCUCGAAAGUGCGGGUAUCGAACARGAUUAGAUACCCUGGUAGUCCGCACGGUARACGAUGGAUGCCCGCUGUUGGUCUGAAUAGGUCAGCGGCCMAGCCGAAAGCAUUAAGCAUCCCACCUGGGGAGUACGCCGGCAACGGUGAAACUCAAAGAAAUUGACGG
rnacentral:rRNA from 1 species